GACGAACCGUGCAAACGUUGUUCGGAAUCACUGGGCUUAAAGGGCGCGUAGGCGGCUCGCCAAGUCGGGGUGAAACCUUUCGGCUCAACCGGAAAAGUGCCUUCGAUACUGGCGGGCUGGAGGGAGGUAGGGGCAUGUGGAACUUCCGGUGGAGCGGUGAAAUGCGUUGAUAUCGGAAGGAACGCCGGUGGCGAAAGCGACGUGCUGGACCUCUUCUGACGCUGAGGCGCGAAAGCUAGGGGAGCGAACGGG
rnacentral:rRNA from 1 species